AGAAGGUCCAUGGUUUGUCCUGUGAUCGCCCUCUCAAAGGUCUUCAUGGAGCGUGAAGUCAAAGCAACUGCUCUGAAGUCCUUAAGGCUCCCCGGAGCGCCCUGUCUUUGGUCCCUGGACCAUACAGGAUGUCUUCCUGGCAGAAAGCAAGUGGGAGUUAAGGACUGGAUUUGAACUGGUGAUCCUCCUAUUACAGACACACUGUCCCCCAAGAAAGAAAUGUUGGGGUCCGGAGCCUAUCCAGGAAGCUACAGGUGCAAGGCUGGGAAUAGCUGAGGACAGGGUGCCAACUCAUCACAUGGCUGAGUUUAAACUUGUGCAACGCCCACCCGUAUUCCAAUUACUUGUCCAAAAGAAGGUCACAGGAAAGCCUGGAGCCCGUAGCAGUCAUUAUAGGGCACAAGGUUGGGGUAAACCCUAGAUGGGAUGCCAGGCCGUCACAGGACACGUACAUACAAACAGGCGGUUUUUGAGAUGCUAGCUCGCCAAACCAUGUGU